UUGAACGCUGGCGGCAUGCCUUACACAUGCAAGUCGAACGGUAGAGGGGCAACCCUUGAGAGUGGCGAACGGGUGAGUAAUAUAUCGGAACGUGCCCAGUCGUGGGGGAUAACGCAGCGAAAGCUGCGCUAAUACCGCAUACGAUCUAUGGAUGAAAGCGGGGGAUCGCAAGACCUCGCGCGAUUGGAGCGGCCGAUAUCAGAUUAGGUAGUUGGUGGGGUAAAGCCCACCA
rnacentral:rRNA from 1 species